rnacentral:rRNA from 1 species
AACGAACGCUGGCGGCAUGCCUAACACAUGCAAGUCGAACGAGACCUUCGGGUCUAGUGGCGCACGGGUGCGUAAUGCGUGGGAACCUGCCCUUAGGUUCGGAAUAACUCCCCGAAAGGGGUGCUAAUACCGGAUAAUGUCUUCGGACCAAAGAUUUAUCGCCUUUGGAUGGGCCCGCGUUGGAUUAGCUAGUUGGUAGGGUAAAAGCCUACCAAGGCGACGAUCCAUAGCUGGUCUGAGAGGAUGAUCAGCCACACUGGGACUGAGACACGGCCCAGACUCCUACGGGAAGCAGCAGUGGGGAAUAUUGGACAAUGGGCGAAAGCCUGAUCCAGCAAUGCCGCGUGAGUGAUGAAGGCCUUAGGGUUGUAAAGCUCUUUUACCCGGGAUGAUAAUGACAGUACCGGGAGAAUAAGCUCCGGCUAACUCCGUG